AUGGAAAUCACACAAUUCCUUCACCCUUUUGCAAAGAAUAAAACAGAAACAAAACCCCAAAAGACCACCACAACAAGCCCCACGAAUACCUCACUCAACCAAAAGGGCUGUGCAGACCACACCUUCCUGAACAUGCACCAGGAGCACUCGGCCCAGGACAGGUAUCUGAGCAUCAGGGGACAGCAGCAUCUCGGUGGAACCCUCAAGGGCCCUGUAAGACAAUAAUAGGCAUAAAAAUGUGUUCAUCAGAGUCCCAGAGUUCUGUGAUGAGCUUUGGUGUGAGUGGGAGGGAGGCUAGGGGUGAGAAGUUAAGGAGCAUCGGACUCCAAUCUCUUACCCACCUUUUCACCCGAGAUCAAAGCUUCACUUUUAGCUGCUUCCUAUACUGGGGCAAUGUAGGGGAGUUCGCUUAUGAAAGGGGCUCUGCUGAUUGAGGCAAGCUUAAACACAGGAAUUGCUAAUCUGACAUUCUUGCAUCCUAAGAGUGAAGAAAAACAAGCCUGAAAGAUGUUAAUUGACCUAUCUAAAGAGGCCCGGC
rnacentral:lncRNA from 1 species